GCCCCGGUAGUCCAACGGCAGAGACAAUGUGCUCAAACCACAUCCAGUGUGAGUUCGAAUCUCACCCGGGGCA
rnacentral:tRNA from 1 species